rnacentral:rRNA from 1 species
AUGAAUAUCUUGGCCUCGAACUGUCGGGGGUUGGGAUUGACCUCGACAGUUGGCGAACUCAGGGAUCUCAUUCGAUCCUACAAUCCUGCCGUGGUGUUUUUGUGUGAAACUCUUAAAACGGCUCGAGCGAUGGACAUAUUGAUGUGGAGCUUGGGAUUCAAGCAUGGUGUUGCGGUUGACUGUGUGGGGAGGAGUGGUGGUCUUGCUCUGUGGUGGAGGGACGAUGUUCAGGUGACGGUUAGGCCAUGGUACCAAUAUUAUAUUGAUACUCAUAUGAUGUGGCAGGGCAAGUCCUAUAGAGUCACUGGAUUCUAUGGGGAACCCAAAACGGACAGUCGGAAGAAGUCUUGGGACGCGAUUCGUUAUCUUCGUGCCCAGGAUGAACUUCCCUGGAUUUGCGUGGGCGACUUCAACGAAGCUCUCUUCCAAACCGACCAGAAAGGGGGGAAUCCUCACAACUUCUCUCAGAUGGAGGCCUUCAGGGACUGUCUCGCAGAUUGUGGCCUGGCUGACUUGGGUUUCUUGGGCUACCCUUUUACUUGGGACAACAAACGUGAUGGCACCGAGAACAUCCAGGUGCGGUUGGAUAGGGCAACGUGCAAUGAUGAUUUUCUGAACCUCUUCCCUGCCACCGAAGUUGAGUAUGUGAUGACGGAGGAGUCGGAUCAUCAAGCGGUCGUGGUGCAUGCAUUGGAGACUGCUCCAGUUCGGGGUGUAAGGGGACCGAGGCCCUUCCAAUUCGAGGAAGCAUGGACUAGACACGAUCAAUAUGAAGGCAUGGUGGAGGCUGCUGAAGGAAAUAUGCCCUAG